CGAAGCAGUGGAAGUAGUGCAAGCUGCCCGGAGACACAGAAAGAAACGUGUCCUGAGAACUUUCAAUCCGGUCCUGCAUUUCUUUUUCGCAGUCUCUAGAAGAAUAGGUAACACCACAUACUCUUACACACCGUUGCAAGAGAGCGACUGUUCAAAAUCAAGGCCUAUAGGAUGGCGCAGCCUAUACACGAUCACGACUCGCCCAGCACGCCCUUCAGUUGGACCGUCUUCAUAACAGUGGCAGCGGUUUUAGUCUUGCUGAUUCGGGCAGUGGAUAUUCGUCAGGCCUUUACAAUAGCCAUGGUAGCGGGUUUCGCGGUCUUUGUCUUCGCUUACAGCCUGCUGUUAGUCAGGGGUGGCUGAUUUGCUGAAUAGAUGACUAACAAGGUGUUGGACUCACGACGAAAGACGAUAUGACGCUAGUUCACCUUUAUCCGUUGGUUAACCUUUAUCCGUUGUUAAAAAAAAAACAGGGUAUUUAGGGAUACCAAUUCGAAGGACGGUAGUUUCAAAUUCUAUUAUAUUCAAAAUAUUACAGUUCGAAACCAUUGAUCGUCGACUUGAUACCCUAAAUAUAUAUCCUGUUUUUAAAACAAUGGAUAUAGGUUACCCCGCGGAUAAAAGUGAACUAGAGUUACAUGUAGAAAUGUCACACGCCGAUUGAAAAAAAAAUUGUACCCGAACUAUGAGUACGAGGGGAAGGACAACCUCAAGCCAACCGUAUACACUUACGCCACAUCUUCAGAAAAGACGCUGGAGGCCGUAUGUUCCCCGUAUAUAGGAACUUUGUUCGAACCAGUACACAACAAAAAUUUUUCGCCAUGUGGCUUCCUCAGUGUUAUGGGCUCGAAUGAGCUCGAGCAUAGUACAGCAUGAUCGCUUUUAUAGACCAGGUGCAUAGUGCCUUGACCGGUGCAGGUGCAAGGUGCCCUAGGUGGCUUAACCAAUCAGUUCAGCAAAAAUGACGUAGUGCAGUCUGAUCUAGGCUACUACAUGACCUCACUUGACCUCUACCCGAGCUAUAUUAAACGUUGGGCUUCGCCGAUGAAUAUAGUGUUGUGUGUCUCUUUUGUGUGUCUUUGAAGGGGAAGUCCUUCAGUUUCGAUGACGAAUCUUGAGAGUUUCGCUCCCCUCAUUUCUACUGCGCAUUUUACCUCAAACUUCGGACGAGGUACAACUGCCAGGCAUCCACACAAUCGACAGAGCGAGAUAUCGGAACAAGAGUGUACGAAAGGCACAUAAAAAACUUCAAGCAUGGACGGUGCUGCCUACUUCGCUGGGUUGGUUGUGAACUUCGUCAUUUCUGCGGCUGUAUUCGCUGUGACUCGGCAGGUGGAUUUGUACCCGGCCCUUUUUUGCAACAUGUUGGCGACUAUCCUUGUCUACACAUGUUUACAAAUUCAAACAGCACCAGACGGUGCUGCCUACUUCGCUGGGUUGGUUGUGAACUUCGUCAUGUCUGCGGCUGUAUUCGCUGUGACUCGGCAGAUGGAUUUGUACCCGGCCCUUUUUUGCAACAUGAUGGCGACUAUCCUAGUCUACGCAUGUCUACAAACAUCACCAGACGUGUGAGAGUGGUAGCUGAAACUGUACGGACGAAUAAGUUGUGACUGUUUGCGGAAAUAGCAGCUGCAUUCUGGUGUUAUUUGUGGUUUUGUGGAUUGUUGUGCUUUGAGUAGGAGAGUAGAGAGAUAUACCAAAGCUUUCUGUCGUCUUGACACUACAACCAACACCGUUUGUCAAGAAAAUGACAUGAUCAUGAAUUGGCCGUAGGGCAAUCCUGACUUCAAUGCUGUGGGGGGAGCACUUAAAGCAUAUCAAAUGUGCUAUCGUAUAUUACUUGUACUGCAUAGUUUUUUACUUGAAUGGCAAUGCCAAUCUCGCACUAUACACGCUUCUGUCGGUAAACUAUCUGUAUCCACCAUAAUAACCCAUAGAGUGACAAAAAGAUAUAAAUGCUAUUCCAUAUCCACCAUAACUGAUAAACUGACAUGAAGACCCCUUAACGCUUAACGUAAGUAAUCAAGACUCAUCCUUUGUGGCUGUUUAGUUGUUUACUGUAGUAAAUUUUACUUUAAAUGCCUCAUUUCUGAAGAAAGUUCUGUAGCUAUUAUUUCUAAUCUUUAUUUUUCUGUAGCUGGAAGAAAAACACAAACCACGUGUGGCAGAUUGUGGUCCUCUUGGAUAUAGUUUAGAAUGCUGCCUAGCUAUAUAAAUCUAGUUUGAUAUAUAGUCAAGAGUAGGGCUGGGUAUCGGUACAGCGUACCGGUACAAAACCGGUUUUUCUUAUUGAACCGGUCCAGAAAAACCGGACCUGAAAAAAUUAGGUG